rnacentral:rRNA from 1 species
GAUGAACGCUGGCGGCGUGCCUAAUACAUGCCAGUCGAGCGAACAGACGAGGAGCUUGCUCCUCUGACGUUAGCGGCGGACGGGUGAGUAACACGUGGAUAACCUACCUAUAAGACUGGGAUAACUUCGGGAAACCGGAGCUAAUACCGGAUAAUAUAUUGAACCGCAUGGUUCAAUAGUGAAAGACGGUUUUGCUGUCACUUAUAGAUGGAUCCGCGCCGCAUUAGCUAGUUGGUAAGGUAACGGCUUACCAAGGCAACGAUGCGUAGCCGACCUGAGAGGGUGAUCGGCCACACUGGAACUGAGACACGGUCCAGACUCCUACGGGAGGCAGCAGUAGGGAACCUUCCGCAAUGGGCGAAAGCCUGACGGAGCAACGCCGCGUGAGUGAUGAAGGUCUUCGGAUCGUAAAACUCUGUUAUUAGGGAAGAACAAAUGUGUAAGUAACUAUGCACGUCUUGACGGUACCUAAUCAGAAAGCCACGGCUAACUACGUG